rnacentral:rRNA from 1 species
GAUGAACGCUGGCGGCGUGCCUAAUACAUGCAAGUCGAGCGAAUGGAUUAAGAGCUUGCUCUUAUGAAGUUAGCGGCGGACGGGUGAGUACCACGUGGGUAACCUGCCCAUAAGACUGGGAUAACUCCGGGAAACCGGGGCUAAUACCGGAUAAUAUUUUGAACUGCAUGGUUCAAAAUUGAAAGGCGGCUUCGGCUGUCACUUAUGGAUGGACCCGCGUCGCAUUAGCUAGUUGGUGAGGUAACGGCUCACCAAGGCAACGAUGCGUAGCCGACCUGAGAGGGUGAUCGGCCACACUGGGACUGAGACACGGCCCAGACUCCUACGGGAGGUAGCAGUAGGGAAUCUUCCGCAAUGGACGAAAGUCUGACGGAGCAACGCCGCGUGAGUGAUGAAGGCUUUCGGGUCGUAAAACUCUGUUGUUAGGGAAGAACAAGUGCUAGUUGAAUAAGCUGGCACCUUGACGGUACCUAACCAGAAAGCCACGGCUAACUACGUGCCAGCCGCCGCCGUAA